rnacentral:rRNA from 1 species
GCGCGCAGUCGCGAAUCUUCCACAAUGGACGAAAGUCUGAUGGAGCGACGCCGCGUGCGGGAUGAAGGCCUUAUGGGUUGUAAACCGCUGUCAGGGGGAAGAACAUCGGAAUGAACAAUACUCAUUCCGACUGACGUUACCCCAGAGGAAGCUCCGGCCAACUCCGUGCCAGCAGCCGCGGUAAUACGGGGGGAGCAAGCGUUGUCCGGAAUUUAUUGGGGCGUAAAGGGCGUGUAGGCGGCGAGGUAAGUCGAAUGUGAAAUCUCACGGCUCAACCGUGAAACUGCGUUCGAAACUACCCUGCUUGAGUACGGGAGAGGUGUACGGAAUUCCCUGGUGUAGCGGUGGAAUGCGUAGAUAUC